rnacentral:rRNA from 1 species
AAAGGAAGUUGACGGGGGCCCGCACAAGCGGAGGAACAUGUGGUUUAAUUCGAUGAUACGCGAGGAACCUUACCUGGGCUUAAAUGGGGAGUGACAGCUGUCGAAAGAUGGUUUUCUUCGGACACUCUUCAAGGUGCUGCAUGGUUGUCGUCAGCUCGUGCCGUGAGGUGUCGGGUUAAGUCCCAUAACGAGCGCAACCCUUACCGUUAGUUACCAUCAGGUUAAGCUGGGGACUCUAGCGGGACUGCCACCGUAAGGUGAGAGGAAGUGGGGAUGACGUCAAAUCAGCACGGCCCUUAUGUCCAGGGCUACACACGUGUUACAAUGGCCAGUACAAAGGGCAGCUACCGGGUGACCGGAUGCUAAUCUCUAAAGCUGGUCUCAGUUCGGAUCGAAGUCUGCAACCCGACUUCGUGAAGCUGGAUUCGCUAGUAAUCGCGCAUCAGCCAUGGCGCGGUGAAUACGUUCCCGGGCCUU